UCAUUAUAAUUCUUAUUACAAGAAUUCAAACACGCUUCCGCACCAAAAUUGGUAUCAGAGCUAAGGAUUUCACCUCAAUCUCAUGGCUAAUGACGGUUCGAGUGGCAGAAAAACCACCGACAACGAACGGAGGUUUGAAAAAAUUAAGUAGCGACUAGAAGGGAUGGAUGAAACUCUUCGCAACAUCACGUAGAUGUUGACUGCAUUGACAGUUGAAAAGAGUCGUGGAUACAUG
rnacentral:lncRNA from 1 species